CGAGAGUCUUCUAGGAUACGAUACUUGGUCUUACCAUUUUAUAUUACUUGUGCGAUUCGGUACACUUGUCGAUCCAUCAACAGGUCCUUGACUCCGUUCUCGGAGAUCAUAGAUUUUGUUCAACAAGUUUUUGGCGCCGUUGCCGGGGACUCACGGUUUAAACUAUUUUACUUGUGUGAUUCUGGAUUAACUUUGACUUUAUUUUUUUAUUUUUAUUUUUAUUUUAUUUUUACUGUUAAUUUUUCUUUUGUGUCAUUUUUAUUUUUUUACUUUGACUUUAAUUUUUAUUUUUUAUUCUCAUGAACAUUUAUGAGAAUUUUUAAGCAAGUUUUUUACCAUUUUGCAUUCAUUAAAUACAUAAUCAAUUAC
rnacentral:lncRNA from 1 species